rnacentral:rRNA from 1 species
UAGGGAAUCUUCCACAAUGGACGAAAGUCUGAUGGAGCAAUGCCGCGUGAGUGAAGAAGGUUUUCGGAUCGUAAAACUCUGUUGUGAGGGAAGAACAAGUACGAGAGUAACUGCUCGUACCUUGACGGUACCUCAUUAGAAAGCCACGGCUAACUACGUGCCAGCAGCCGCGGUAAUACGUAGGUGGCAAGCGUUGUCCGGAAUUAUUGGGCGUAAAGCGCGCGCAGGCGGUCCCUUAAGUCUGAUGUGAAAUCCCACGGCUCAACCGUGGAAGGUCAUUGGAAACUGGGGGACUUGAGUACAGAAGAGGAAAGCGGAAUUCCAAGUGUAGCGGUGAAAUGCGUAGAGAUUUGGAGGAACACCAGUGGCGAAGGCGGCUUUCUGGUCUGUAACUGACGCUGAGGCGCGAAAGCGUGGGGGAGCAAACAGGAUUAGAUACCC